GUUCGCCAUUUAAAGUGGUACGCGAGCUGGGUUUAGAACGUCGUGAGACAGUUCGGUCCCUAUCUGCCGUGGGCGUAGGAUGAUUGAUUGGGGCUGCUCCUAGUACGAGAGGACCGGAGUGGACGCAUCACUGGUGUUCCAGUUGUCUCGCCAGAGGCAUUGCUGGGUAGCUAAAUGCGGAAGAGAUAAGUGCUGAAAGCAUCUAAGCACGAAACUUGCCAAGAGAUGAGUCAUCCCUGACUUUAAGUCAGUAAGGGUUGUUGUAGACUACGACGUAGAUAGGUCAGGUGUGUAAGUGUAGUGAUACAUUGAGCUAACAGAUACUAAUUGCCCGAGAGGCUUAACUAUACAACGCUCAAG
rnacentral:rRNA from 1 species